ensembl:misc_RNA Y_RNA Y RNA
GGUUAGUCCAAGUGCAGUGGUAUUUACAACUAAUUGAUCACAACCGGUUACAGAUUCUUUUGUUUCUUCUCCACUCUCACUGCUUCACUUGACCAGCCUUAA